rnacentral:rRNA from 1 species
CAGCAGCCGCGGGAAUACGAGGGGGGCAAGCGUUGUUCGGAUUUAUUGGGCGUAAAGGGUGCGUAGGCGGUUUGGCAAGUCUUGUGUGAAAUCUUCGGGCUCAACCCGAAGCCUGCACGAGAAACUACCGGGCUUGAGUAUUGGAGAGGUGAGUGGAAUUUCCGGUGUAGCGGUGAAAUGCGUAGAUAUCGGAAGGAACACCUGUGGCGAAAGCGGCUCACUGGACAAUAACUGACGCUGAUGCACGAAAGCUAGGGGAGCAAACAGGAUUAGAUACCCGCGUAGUCCCUGUCUCUUAUAA